GGAAGAGAAACGUUCCCGGUGGGGCGGCCGGACUUCAAAUCCGGUAAGGGUCGCCAGACGGCUCUUCGUGGGUUCGACUCCCACUCUCUUCCG
rnacentral:tRNA from 1 species